rnacentral:rRNA from 1 species
ACCCAGCACCUCAAGUGGUCAGGAGGAUUAUUGGGCCUAAAGCAUCCGUAGCCGGCUCUGUAAGUUUUCGGUUAAAUCCAUGUGCUCAACACAUGGGCUGCCGAAAAUACUGCAUAGCUAGGGAGUGGGAGAGGUAGACGGUACUCGGUAGGAAGGGGUAAAAUCCUUUGAUCUAUCGAUGACCACCUGUGGCGAAGGCGGCUACCUGGUCCGAUUUUGACGCUGAGGCGCGAAAGCGUGGGGAGCAAACAGG